rnacentral:rRNA from 1 species
UGAGGAAUAUUGGUCAAUGGACGAGAGUCUGAACCAGCCAAGUAGCGUGAAGGACGACUGCCCUAUGGGUUGUAAACUUCUUUUAUAUGGGAAUAAAAAAGUCCACGUGUGGAUUCUUGUAUGUACCAUAUGAAUAAGCAUCGGCUAAUUCCGUGCCAGCAGCCGCGGUAAUACGGAAGAUGCGAGCGUUAUCCGGAUUUAUUGGGUUUAAAGGGAGCGUAGGCCGGCGGUUAAGUCAGCGGUCAAAUUGGGUGGCUCAACCAUCCCCCGCCGUUGAUACUGGCCGCCUUGAGUGUAUUCAAGGCAGAUGGAAUUCGUGGUGUAGCGGUGAAAUGCUUAGAUAUCACGAAGAACUCCGAUUGCGAAGGCAGUCUGCUGGGUUACAACUGACGCUGAGGCUCGAAAGUGCGGGUAUCAAACA